rnacentral:rRNA from 1 species
UUUCCCUAGUAACGGCGAGUGAAGCGGGAAGAGCUCAAAUUUGAAAUCUGGUAGCCUUCGGUUGCCCGAGUUGUAAUCUAGAGAAGUGUUUUCCGUGCCGGCCCAUGUACAAGUCCCUUGGAACAGGGCGUCAUAGAGGGUGAGAAUCCCGUCCUUGACAUGGACCCCCGGUGCUUUGUGAUACACUUUCAACGAGUCGAGUUGUUUGGGAAUGCAGCUCAAAAUGGGUGGUGAAUUCCAUCUAAAGCUAAAUAUUGGCGAGAGACCGAUAGCGAACAAGUACCGUGAGGGAAAGAUGAAAAGCACUUUGGAAAGAGAGUUAAACAGUACGUGAAAUUGUUGAAAGGGAAACGAUUGAAGUCAGUCAUGCUCUUAGGAUUCAGCCGUUCUGCGGUGUAUUUCCUUUGAGUGGGGUCAACAUCAGUUUUGAUCGAUGGAUAAAGGCACGAGGAAGGUAGCACUCUCGGGUGAACUUAUAGCCUCGCGUCAUAUACAUUGAUUGGGACUGAGGAACGCAGCAUGCCUUUAUGGCCGGGAUUCGUCCACGUACAUGCUUAGGAUGUUGACAUAAUGGCUUUAAACGAC